UGGUCGACAGACCCCGGGCGCGAUCCGGGCUCCCUCCUGGAGCCGCAGGUCCCAGAUGGACCUCAGGGAGAGACCUGGCAAUUGUGGGAUUAUCAAGAGCAGCAGAAUCAUCCCUCAGGACUGCAGCUUGGAAUUGCAGUCGAUCUGCUAGAGACAAGCCACCAAACUCUGACCUGGGCGCCGGGAGAGAUGCCCAGGCGGGAUGCGGGAGCCUGUGGGGGAUGCGGGAGUCAUCGGGGGGCGGAUGACAGGGAGGCGGCCCCGCGACGCUGCCGGGCUUGAUCCGGUCCGGCCCCUGGAGCUCCCGCCGCACCCCUUUAUAAAUCCCACUUCCCCCCGCACUUUUCCCGCACUGCCGCGAUGGGCUUCCCCUGCCCCAAAACAGCCCAGAGGCACCUGACCCCGGGGCGUCCCUGCAACUGGGUCCCUCCUAUCUUGAAAAAAACAGAACAAAGUUUUAAAAACCCUACAAAUGGCCCCAAAAAGCAAAGCAGCCCCCGGGAAGAUGCUCAUGGGGGUUUCAACGGACGGGCUGCAGCCAGGGGAGAGGCAGAGCACACACUUCACAGGUGGGCAUCUGUCAUGCUCGGAGGCUGUUGGCCUUUGUAGUUCAGGCAGGUAAAUUGAAUCCAAAUUGUCAGCGGUUUCCACCACCUGCUCUUUCUCCUCUUUAUUUCUUGACGGAUUUUACACCGUUCCCUUUCACUCCACAGAGCGAAAAAGGAAAAUCCCUGGCUGCCCCAUUGCCUUCCCCAUCUGCCUUCCACAUGUCCAGCCCUAUGCUUUCUCCUCUCCCCUUGACAUUGCACCGGAUUCUCCCUCCUCCUCCCCGUAACAGUUCAGGGGGAGGAGAUUUCUCCCUCUGGCUCCACGCCUCUCCUUGUGUCCCAUUUUUCCCAGCUGCCUGCCCGUGCAGCUGGACCCGCGUGGGGCUGGUUAAUGUUGGAGCGAAUUAUUGCAGCGAUUAUUGGGAUGGGCUGGGUGUGGCCGGAUGUCCGGUGCCACAAAAAUCGCUCUGUCACUGCCCUCCUGAGGCUGGGCAGGGAACAGAACACAAGGAGAGGCUCCAGGGUCAGGGGAUUACACAGAAAUACCUCGAGAGGUAUCGCGGCGCACUCCGAGACUGGGGGAUGGGAGCUGAUCUCCGGCGCUUUCGGCGCGGCCGGGGAUUGCAGAGAGAGCGAGCGGUCACGCCUGGUGCGGAGAGCAGGCGCCCGUUUCCCGGGGCGGGGCUCCGCUGUCGCCUUGCUGCCCUCUUGUCGCCGUCCCUGCGGCUGUCGGGGCUGGUACCGAGAUCCCGCGCUGCCCGAUGGGACCCGCCUGACUUGGCUGCCCGCCGCCCGCUGCCGGGGUGGGUCGGUGCUCCCCGAAGGAGCGGUGUCCUCGUCCGGUCACGAUUGUAACUUCACCAAAGGGGAAAUCUUGGCUCGAUGGGGGGAAAGGGCUGGGAUUAGGAAUUGUUGGUCUGGGGUGCUGUUGCUGGUCUUGUUUGUCCGUGUUGUUAUUUAUAUAUAUAUAUAUAUAUAUAUAUAUAUAUAUAUAUAUGUAUGUAUGUAUGUAUGUAUGUAUAUUCUAGUAAAGAACUAUUAUUUCUUUUCCCAUA